UACGGAGGAUGCGAGCGUUAUCCGGAUUUAUUGGGUUUAAAGGGUGCGUAGGCGGGCUUUUAAGUCAGCGGUAAAAAUUCGGGGCUCAACCCCGUCCGGCCGUUGAAACUGGGGGCCUUGAGUGGGCGAGAAGAAGGCGGAAUGCGUGGUGUAGCGGUGAAAUGCAUAGAUAUCACGCAGAACCCCGAUUGCGGAGGCAGCCUUCCGGCGCCCUACUGACGCUGAGGCACGAAAGUGCGGGGAUCGAACAGG
rnacentral:rRNA from 1 species